UUUCAGCAAGUUGUAGCAAUUGAACUACAGAAAUAACCACUUUUCCACAAACAAGGUCUAAAAUCAUGUUUGAUGCACUCUGGAAACAAUGCUUUUUAAAGAAGUGUUCAAGCUAGAUGGUAGGAACACUGUGGACAAUUUUCAGCAAGUUGCAGCAAUUGAACUACAGAAAUAACCACUUUUCCACAAACAAGGUCAUGUUUGAUUGCAAUCUGGAAACAAUGUUUUAAACAUAACUGUUCAAACUAGAUGAUAGGGACACUGUGGACAAUUUCCAGCAAGUUGCAGCAAUUGAACUACAGAAAUAACCACUUUUCCACAAACAAGGUCUAAAAUCAUGUUUGAUGCACUCUGGAAACAAUGCUUUUUAAAUAACUGUUCAAACUAGAUGAUUAGGAACACUGUGGACAAUUUUCAGCAAGUUGCAGCAAUUGAACUACAGAAAUAACCACUUUUCCACAAACAAGGUCUAAAAUCAUGUUUGAUGCACUCUGGAUACAAUGCUUUUUACAGAACUGUUCAAACUAGAUGAUUUGGAACACUGUGGACAAUUUUCAGCAAGUUGCAGCAAUUGAACUACAGAAAUAACCACUUUUCCAUUAACAAGGUCUAAAAUCAUGUUUGAUGCACUCUGGAAACAAUGCUUUUUAAAGAACUGUUCAAACUAGAUGAUUAGGAACACUGUGGACAAUUUUCAGCAAGUUGCAGCAAUUGAACUACAGAAAUAACCACUUUUCCACAAACAAGGUCUAAAAUCAUGUUUGAUGCACUCUGGAUACAAUGCUUUUUACAGAACUGUUCAAACUAGAUGA